AGGGGGUUUGAUCAUGGGCUCAGAACGAACGUUGGCGGCGUGGAUUAGGCAUGCAAGUCGUACGAGAAAAGUUUCUUCGGAGACUGAGUAAAGUGGCGAACGGGUGAGUAAUGCAUAGACAACUUGCCCUCGAGAUGGGAAUAACGUUUCGAAAGGGACGCUAAUGCCCAAUGUCGUCCGUGGCUUACGGGCUGUGGAUGAAAGGAAGCCUCUGAUUUAAGCUUCCGCUCGGGGAGAGGUUUAUGUCCUAUUAGCUUGUUGGUGAGGUAACGGCUCACCAAGGCUGCGAUGGGUAGCCGGCCUGAGAGGGUGACCGGCCACAUUGGGACUGAGACACUGCCCAAACUCCUACGGGAGGCUGCAGUCGAGAAUCUUCCGCAAUGCGCGCAAGCGUGACGGAGCGACGCCGCGUGGGUGAUGAAGGCCUUCGGGUUGUAAAGCCCUGUCAGUUGCUAGGAAUUGCAGGUGGUAAACAGCCAUCUGUUUGACCAUGCAUCAAAGGAAGCACCGGCUAAAUACGUGCCAGCAGCCGCGGUAAUACGUAUGGUGCAAACGUUGUUCGGAAUCACUGGGCCUAAAGAGCGCGUAGGCGGUUAGGUUAGUCAGACGUGAAAUCCCUCGGCUCAACCGAGGAACUGCGUCUGAUACUGCCUAACUAGAGUGCAGGAGGGGAAAGUGGAUUCCUGGGGGAGCGGUGAAUGCGUAAAUAUCAGGAGGAACGCGGGUGGGCAAAGCGACUCUCUGGUCUGCUACUGACGCUGAAGC
rnacentral:rRNA from 1 species